rnacentral:rRNA from 1 species
CCUACGGGAGACUGCAGUGAGGAAUAUUGGUCAAUGGCCGAGAGGCUGAACCAGCCAAGUCGCGUGAGGGAUGAAUGUCCUAUGGGUUGUAAACCUCUUUUGUCAGGGAGCAAAGUCACCCACGUGUGGGUGUUUGAGUGUACCUGACGAAUAAGCAUCGGCUAACUCCGUGCCAGCAGCCGCGGUAAUACGGGGGAUUCGAGCGUUAUCCGGAUUUAUUGGGUUUAAAGGGUGCGUAGGCGGGUUGUCAAGUCAGCGGUAAAAUCGUGGAGCUCAACUCCAUCCAGCCGUUGAAACUGGUGGUCUUGAGUGGGCGAGAAGUAUGCGGAAUGCGUGGUGUAGCGGUGAAAUGCAUAGAUAUCACGCAGAACUCCGAUUGCGAAGGCAGCAUACCGGCGCCCGACUGACGCUGAAGCACGAAAGCGUGGGUAUCGAACAGGAUUAGAUACCCUAGUAGUC